AAAAAGCAAGUAAUCAGCAUAUGUGGGAACUCCUUCAAGGCUGUUGGAAAAGCAUUCCAGAUCAGCUUAAUCUUAAGGUGGGGCGUGAGCUCGUGUUGAUGUAGGACAAGUCCACAGUGACUGACCCUAUCGCAAGCAUCAUAUGGAAGCAUGGGAAGAACAAGGUGGCAGACUGGGACAAGGAUUUUGGUGGUCUGGACAUCUAUGCUGUCUUCAAAGAGCGUACAACCCUGAACCAGACUACUGGAGAGCUGAGAAUCAGUGGAUUGAUGAAAACAGACAGUGGAGUUUAUUCUGUGGAGUGUAACAGCAGAGCCCCAUCUGUUUAGCUAUAAAAAGUUUUGCAUGUUAUUUUGGUGUUAAUAUGUGUCACAUAUCAGUUUGCAAACUGUUGUAUAGUAACCUGUUAGUAACCCAAGUGCCUCACCUUAAUAAUUUGGUCCCAUUCCCCUUCAUAACAGCCUAAUGUUCUGACUUGGUGGUGCACAUGUAGCCUAUAGCCUGUUUUAGAGAAAUGUCAUCAUUUAGUAUUCAAAUAACUUUCAUUGUCUGCUUAUAUGGCCCCUUUAUUUAUCAUACAGUUCUGACUUGGUGUACAGGGAGAAUAUUUUAAGAACGGACCAUGUUCUUAAUUCUGUCGUUGUUCAUUUCAAAAGUCCUUGUAAUGAUGACGCUGUGACUCGAGAAGCAGGUGAAACGUUUAAUAAAAUAACAAAUAUGAAACGAGACAGCGAAACAGUGGCGACAAUGCAUGAACACAGGAACAAUACCGACAGGAAUGAACAUAAGGGAGGGACAGAUAAAGGGGAGGUAAUAAGAAAGAUAAUGGCGUCCAGGUGUGAAUUAUAAUGAUCUGCAGGUGCGCUUAAUGAUGGAUGCCAGGUGUGCAUAAUGAUGAAUCCCAGGACCGAUGGUUAGUAUUCUGGCGAAGUCAAACACCGGAGGGGAGGAGCAGGAGUAGACGUGACAGUGCUGAACAAAUAGUUAUUGUGACUACGCUCAUUUUAGCUCGCUCAUUAAUGUCAUAAUCAAAAUUACGGAUUGCCUUUUAUACACUCAUUGUUCCCUUAUGCCAUAGUUUGUACACCUAAAUUGUCAGUAGAAACCACAUUUGUUUAAGCAAGUCAGACAGAUCAGCUAUGUUAUUUAAAAGUCAGUAAAUGAGUCUGAAUGAAUUGUUUCGUUGCCAGAUAAAGCUCCGCUGAUAGCCAGUAGUAGCGGUGGUAAGGAUUCCCUCCAUGAUGCUGAAAAGAAGGGUCUGCUGUUGGGCGCCGUUUGCCACUGUUAUAGUGCAAUUAAUGUAAUUGUUAGUGUUGAGUUGUGGCUUUGCUGGCAUGCAGCUACCAUUUUAUUUACUUUUUGCCCCACCAAGAUCGCCACUGUUUACAAGACAUAAACGAUCUGUCAUCAGUA